rnacentral:rRNA from 1 species
UCCUACGGGUGGCAGCAGUGGGGAAUAUUGGACAAUGGGCGCAAGCCUGAUCCAGCCAUGCCGCGUGAGUGAUGAAGGCCCUAGGGUUGUAAAGCUCUUUUGUGCGGGAAGAUAAUGACGGUACCGCAAGAAUAAGCCCCGGCUAACUUCGUGCCAGCAGCCGCGGUAAUACGAAGGGGGCUAGCGUUGCUCGGAAUCACUGGGCGUAAAGGGUGCGUAGGCGGGUCUUUAAGUCAGGGGUGAAAUCCUGGAGCUCAACUCCAGAACUGCCUUUGAUACUGAGGAUCUUGAGUUCGGGAGAGGUGAGUGGAACUGCGAGUGUAGAGGUGAAAUUCGUAGAUAUUCGCAAGAACACCAGUGGCGAAGGCGGCUCACUGGCCCG